rnacentral:rRNA from 1 species
AGAGUGAACGCUGGCGGUAGGCCUAACACAUGCAAGUCGAACGGCAGCACAGGAGAGCUUGCUCUCUGGGUGGCGAGUGGCGGACGGGUGAGGAAUACAUCGGAAUCUACCUUUUCGUGGGGGAUAACGUAGGGAAACUUACGCUAAUACCGCAUAAGACCUUCGGGUGAAAGCCGGGGACCUUCGGGCCUGGCGCGGAUAGAUGAGCCGAUGUCGGAUUAGCUAGUGGCGGGUAAGCC